rnacentral:rRNA from 1 species
UUGACCUCGUAUCUGGCAAGAAUACCCGCUGAACUUA